rnacentral:rRNA from 1 species
AAUAAGACUCUCGGCAACGGAUAUCUCGGCUCUCGCAUCGAUGAAGAACGUAGCAAAAUGCGAUACCUGGUGUGAAUUGCAGAAUCCCGUGAACCAUCGAGUUUUUGAACGCAAGUUGCGCCCGAGUCCUUUUGGUCGAGGGCACGUCUGCCUGGGCGUCACGC